rnacentral:rRNA from 1 species
CUACGGGCUAACUCCAACCCAUGUGACGUUACCAAACUGUUGCCUCGGCGGGGUCACGCCCCGGGUGCGUCGCAGCCCCGGAACCAGGCGCCCGCCGGAGGAACCAACCAAACUCUUUCUGUAGUCCCCUCGCGGACGUAUUUCUUACAGCUCUGAGCAAAAAUUCAAAAUGAAUCAAAACUUUCAACAACGGAUCUCUUGGUUCUGGCAUCGAUGAAGAACGCAGCGAAAUGCGAUAAGUAAUGUGAAUUGCAGAAUUCAGUGAAUCAUCGAAUCUUUGAACGCACAUUGCGCCCGCCAGUAUUCUGGCGGGCAUGCCUGUCCGAGCGUCAUUUCAACCCUCGAACCCCUCCGGGGGAUCGGCGUUGGGGAUCGGGACCCCUCACACGGGUGCCGGCCCCGAAAUACAGUGGCGGUCUCGCCGCAGCCUCUCCUGCGCAGUAGUUUGCACAACUCGCACCGGGAGCGCGGCGCGUCCACGUCCGUAAAACACCCAACUUUCUGAAAUGUUGACCUCGGAUCAGGUAGGAAUACCCGCUGAACUUAAGCAUAUCAAUAAGCGGAGGAA